rnacentral:rRNA from 1 species
GACGAACGCUGGCGGCGUGCUUAACACAUGCAAGUCGAACGGAAAGGCCCUGCUUGUGUGGGAUGCGCGAGUCGCAAACGGGUGUAUAACACGUGAGUAACCUGCCCUUGUCUUUGGUAUGACUUCGGGACACUGUGGCUAAUAGCGGAUAGGCGCUCCUGCUGGAGGGUGGGGGUUGGAAAGUUUUGUCGGUGGGGGGUGGACGCGCGGCUUAUUAGCUUGUUGGGGGGGUAAUGGCCUACCAAGGCGGUGACGGGUAGCCGGCCUGGGAGGGUGGACGGCCACAUGGGGACUGAGAGACGGCCCAGACUCCUACGGGAGGCAGCAGUGGGGAAUAGUGCACAAUGGGCGCAAGCCUGAUGCAGCGACGCCGCGUGGGGGAUGACGGCCUUCGGGUUGUAAACUCCUUUCGCUAGGGACGAAGCUUUUUGUGACGGUACCUAGAUAAGAAGCACCGGCUAACUACG